GGAUAACAUAUAGAUAUCCAUUGUCUAGGCCUACUACUCAGCCAUUUAUGAAAUGACUACAGAAAAGGUAUCAUCACUGAUGACCAAGCUGAUUGGCUCUAGUGCAAGUGGGAGAUUGUUGGAAAUGUGCCCUAAAACCAAUCAUAUGAUGAUACUUUACGGACAUUUCACAUGUUAAACUAAUCUAGUUUAAAUAUAAAGGGCAAAGAUUAUUGUUUGAGCUGUCUCAUAUAAAUGUUAUAUGCUUAAACGAUAAGUCCAAGGAAUAUGUGAUUGGGAGAAUGCAAUCUAAAGAAGUUAGAUUCAUGAGACCAUUCUUUCGUAAACACAUCCUAAACGUUCCUGAUCAUAAGAUUGCCAAUUGGGCAUUGACAGUUUGUUAAGAUCAGUACGUGCUAUGUCUUCUCUCAGGGAGAGUGACUAGUCUCGAGUCAUUGGUGUGUGUGACA
rnacentral:lncRNA from 1 species